GACGAACGCUGGCGGCGUGCCUAAUACAUGCAAGUAGAACGCUGAAGGAGGAGCUUGCUUCUCUGGAUGAGUUGCGAACGGGUGAGUAACGCGUAGGUAACCUGCCUGGUAGCGGGGGAUAACUAUUGGAAACGAUAGCUAAUACCGCAUAAUAGUAGAUGUUGCAUGACAUUUGCUUAAAAGGUGCAAUUGCAUCACUACCAGAUGGACCUGCGUUGUAUUAGCUAGUUGGUGGGGUAACGGCUCACCAAGGCGACGAUACAUAGCCGACCUGAGAGGGGGAGCGGCCACACUGGGACUGAGACACGGCCCAGACUCCUACGGGAGGCAGCAGUAGGGAAUCUUCGGCAAUGGACGGAAGUCUGACCGAGCAACGCCGCGUGAGUGAAGAAGGUUUUCGGAUCGUAAAGCUCUGUUGUAAGAGAAGAACGAGUGUGAGAGUGGAAAGUUCACACUGUGACGGUAUCUUACCAGAAAGGGACGGCUAACUACGUG
rnacentral:rRNA from 1 species